rnacentral:rRNA from 1 species
AACGAACGCUGGCGGCAGGCCUAACACAUGCAAGUCGAGCGCGCCCUUCGGGGUGAGCGGCGGACGGGUGAGUAACGCGUGGGAACGUGCCCUUCUCUGCGGAAUAGCCUCGGGAAACUGAGAGUAAUACCGCAUACGCCCUUUGGGGGAAAGAUUUAUCGGAGAAGGAUCGGCCCGCGUUGGAUUAGGUAGUUGGUGGGGUAAUGGCCCACCAAGCCGACGAUCCAUAGCUGGUUUGAGAGGAUGAUCAGCCACACUGGGACUGAGACACGGCCCAGACUCCUACGGGAGGCAGCAGUGGGGAAUCUUAGACAAUGGGGGCAACCCUGAUCUAGCCAUGCCGCGUGAGUGAUGAAGGCCUUAGGGUUGUAAAGCUCUUUCAGCUGGGAAGAUAAUGACGGUACCAGCAGAAGAAGCCCCGGCUAACUCCG